AGUGAACGCUGGCGGUAGGCCUAACACAUGCAAGUCGAACGGCAGCACAGUAAGAGCUUGCUCUUACGGGUGGCGAGUGGCGGACGGGUGAGGAAUACAUCGGAACCUACUUUUUCGUGGGGGAUAACGUAGGGAAACUUACGCUAAUACCGCAUACGACCUACGGGUGAAUGCAGGGGAUCUUCGGACCUUGCGCGAUUGAAUGAGCCGAUGUCGGAUUAGCUAGUUGGCCGGGUAAAGGCCCACCAAGGCGACGAUCCGUAGCUGGUCUGAGAGGAUGAUCAGCCACACGGGAAGUGGGACACGGUCCAGACUCCUACGGGAGGCAGCAGUGGGGAAUAGUGGACAAAGGGCGCAAGCCUGAUCCAGCGAUACCGCGUGGGUGAAGAAGGCCUUCGGGUUGUAAAGCCCUUUUGUUGGGAAAGAAAAGCAGCAGGUUAAUACGCCGCUGUUCUGACGGUACCCAAAGAAUAAGCACCGGCUAACUUCGUG
rnacentral:rRNA from 1 species